rnacentral:rRNA from 1 species
UAGCGGAGGAAAAGAAACCAACAGGGAUUGCCUCAGUAACGGCGAGUGAAGCGGCAAAAGCUCAAAUUUGAAAUCCCCCCGGGGAGUUGUAAUUUGAAGAUUGCGUCUUGGAGGCGACCGUGUCUAUGUUCCUUGGAACAGGACGUCACAGAGGGUGAGAAUCCCGUGCGGCACGGCCCCCGGCUCCUUAUAAGGCGCUCUCGACGAGUCGAGUUGUUUGGGAAUGCAGCUCAAAGUGGGUGGUAAAUUCCAUCUAAAGCUAAAUACAGGCGAGAGACCGAUAGCGAACAAGUACAGUGAUGGAAAGAUGAAAAGCACUUUGAAAAGAGAGUGAAACAGCACGUGAAAUUGUUGAAAGGGAAGGGCAUGCCGUCAGAUUGUCAGUGUGGGUAAGAAGCGGGGUACAAAGACUGUGGAACGUGGCCCUCGGGUGUUAUAGCCGCAGUUCAUGCCCCGUCUCUUUCCGAGGCCUGCUUUGAGGACACCGACGUAAUGACGGUACGCCGCCCGUCUUGAACCACGGACCAAAA